AUUGAACGCUGGCGGCAUGCCUUACACAUGCAAGUCGAACGGCAGCACGGGAGCAAUCCUGGUGGCGAGUGGCGAACGGGUGAGUAAUAUAUCGGAACGUGCCCAGUCGUGGGGGAUAACGUAGCGAAAGCUACGCUAAUACCGCAUACGAUCUAUGGAUGAAAGCGGGGGAUCGCAAGACCUCGCGCGAUUGGAGCGGCCGAUAUCAGAUUAGGUAGUUGGUGAGGUAAAGGCUCACCAAGCCGACGAUCUGUAACUGGUCUGAGAGGACGACCAGCCACACUGGGACUGAGACACGGCCCAGACUCCUACGGGAGGCAGCAGUGGGGAAUUUUGGACAAAUGGGCGGCAAGCCUGAUCCAGCAAUGCCGCGUGCAGGAUGAAGGCCU
rnacentral:rRNA from 1 species